GCCUUACACAUGCAAGUCGAACGGCAGCGCGGGAGCAAUCCUGGCGGCGAGUGGCGAACGGGUGAGUAAUAUAUCGGAACGUGCCCAGUAGUGGGGGAUAGCCCGGCGAAAGCCGGAUUAAUACCGCAUACGACCUGAGGGUGAAAGCGGGGGAUCGCAAGACCUCGCGCUACUGGAGCGGCCGAUAUCAGAUUAGCUAGUUGGUGGGGUAAAGGCCUACCAAGGCAACGAUCUGUAGUUGGUCUGAGAGGACGACCAGCCACACUGGGACUGAGACACGGCCCAGACUCCUACGGGAGGCAGCAGUGGGGAAUUUUGGACAAUGGGCGCAAGCCUGACCCAGCAAUGCCGCGUGCAGGAAGAAGGCCUUCGGGUUGUAAACUGCUUUUGUCAGGGAAGAAAUCUUCUGGGCUAAUACCCCGGGAGGAUGACGGUACCUGAAGAAUAAGCACCGGCUAACUACGUGCCAGCAGCCGCGGUAAUACGUAGGGUGCGAGCGUUAAUCGGAAUUACUGGGCGUAAAGCGUGCGCAGGCGGCUUUGCAAGACAGAGGUGAAAUCCCCGGGCUCAACCUGGGAACUGCCUUUGUGACUGCAAGGCUAGAGUACGGCAGAGGGGGAUGGAAUUCCGCGUGUAGCAGUGAAAUGCGUAGAUAUGCGGAGGACACCGAUGGCGAAGG
rnacentral:rRNA from 1 species